rnacentral:rRNA from 1 species
UACGGGGGGCAAGCGUUGUUCGGAAUUACUGGGCGUAAAGGGCUCGUAGGCGGCCAACUAAGUCGGACGUGAAAUCCCUCGGCUUAACCGGGGAACUGCGUCCGAUACUGGAUGGCUCGAGUUUUGGGAGAGGGAUGCGGAAUUCCAGGUGUAGCGGUGAAAUGCGCAGAUAUCAGGAGGAACACCUAUUGCGAAGGCAGCUCGCUGGGACGUAACUGACGCUGAGACGCGAAAGCGUGGGGAGCAAACAGG